rnacentral:rRNA from 1 species
AUUGAACGCUGGCGGCAUGCCUUACACAUGCAAGUCGAACGGUAACGGGCCUUCGGGUGCCGACGAGUGGCGAACGGGUGAGUAAUACAUCGGAACGUGCCGAUCGUGGGGGAAAACGAGGGGAAAGCUUUGCUAAUUCCGCAUACGAUCUACGGAUGAAAGCAGGGGACCGCAAGGCCUUGCGCGGGCGGGGCGGCCGAUGGCAGAUUCGGGAGUUGGUGGGGUAAAAGCUUACCAAGCCGACGAUCUGUAGCUGGUCUGAGAGGAUGAUCAGCCACACUGGGACUGAGACACGGCCCAGACUCCUACGGGAGGCAGCAGUGGGGAAUUUUGGACAAUGGGCGCAAGCCUGAUCCAGCCAUGCCGCGUGCAGGAUGAAGGCCUUCGGGUUGUAAACUGCUUUUGUACGGAACGAAAAGCCUUCUUUUAAUACAGGAGGGUCAUGACGGUACCGUAAGAAUAAGCACCGGCUAACUACGUG